UACGUAGGGCGCAAGCGUUGUCCGGAAUUAUUGGGCGUAAAAGAGCUCGUAGGCGGCUUGUCACGUCGGGUGUGAAAGCCCGGGGCUUAACCCCGGGUCUGCAUUCGAUACGGGCUAGCUAGAGUGUGGUAGGGGAGAUCGAAUUCCUGGUGUAGCGGUGAAAUGCGCAGAUAUCAGGAGGAACACCGGUGGCGAAGGCGGAUCUCUGGGCCAUUACUGACGCUGAGGAGCGAAAGCGUGGGGAGCGAACAGG
rnacentral:rRNA from 1 species